AUUGUGAAGGAGUAUUUAGGCAGCAAAAAGCACAGACACCUGGACGAGCUGAGGCGCACCUUCUCUACUAUGACCCUCCUAGCUGGACGACGACGAAGUGGGUCGACGUAGGGCGGCGGUGGCGGCGGUCCGACGCGAACGGCGGCCGAGCGCGGCGCUUGUGGAGGAGGCUCGGCCGGCGGCGCGCAGACUCCCGCCACGAGCUCGUCCACCUGCUGCUCGACGCCUUCCCCUUGCUGCUCCGGCGCGACAGGGAGCACGCGCCGAGCGUCCCCCUCCCGCCGCCCGAGGCCACGAAACCGCGGCGCUCCGUCCAUGGAGUUUCCGAAAUAUUUGAUCUACUCGAAUUCGAUUUACCCUAACUAUGAAGAAGAAAGGAUAGAGGACACCUAGUCUGAAACCCUAGUUAACUCUCUUUAGAGGUUUAACGGCGCGAAGAACCUCCAGAAAGACAAAGUAAACGCAAACUCGAAAGAGUUGAGGUUCGAGACGAAUGGAAACAGCCGGAUGAUAAGCACACCAGACAACUAAACGAAAGAUCUAUAUAAUGUUACCUCCCCCCUCUUUGAACCAAGAACUGUGUUAACGAGUGUCAGAGUCGCUCUUCAUGGUGUUGUCUCAAUAACUCGUACUUCGACCAGUGAAGAACUAUCGUAUGAACGAACCUCACGAAGGCUUCCUUAUAUGAUAGUGUACAAAUCUAUGUGAAUACUUUGUUCCUAGUGACUUGCACGUUCGACCCUGUCGAAAACACCUAAAACUCAAACAACUUCUCUAGUUAUGUCCGUUUAACAGACGCUUCUACGACUUGUUCAAGAGUACAUAACGUGACCGGCCUCAUCGUUGGCUCAUAGAAGACAUACCUAUGCGGCUUCCUCCUGAUCUACUGCAAUUGUUCGACCUACCUGACAAGUUCUCGGACCCUAAGUGGGUCUUGUUUCGACUAAGUGUCCACUCCACCCGACACGAUUUGUAGCAAGACUAGGACGCGGCGGUACUUUUUCGAUCUAGCUUCGAAUUCCUCCGUUACAGAAGACCCUCCAGUCAACCUAGAACGUAGCUCCAGUAUCUUCUCUUGUAUUUGGGGCUCCUAUAAACUAUCGACCACCCUUGAGACUUGUGACUUCUGUCACGUGUGACCACGACCUGGUAUGUCUAACGUCGCCAUAUUUGGAAACACCACAUAAACAGAAACAUGACAUAUAAGUCAAACAUUAAACUGUUACCUCCGACUCAGAUGUUAAAAAACCGGAGCUGAUGUUGCGUCUUUGUGUCAACCAUUAGCCACGCUGCGACAUUGGGGGGUUUCGUAAUUGGUUUGCCUCCAACCUGAACUAAAAGUCUAUUGUUAAGAUUACAUCAUGUCAAGGCAACUGUGGGCCUUUACAAACUUAACUUCAAUUAGCGGUUAAGAUGAAGAGUACCCUGACGUUUUACCACCACCACUUAAGGUAAAAUAGAUACCAAAUUCCACAAAAGUCACAUCUGACACAACGUCACUGUUGUUAUCAUCAUCUGUUAUUAAACCCAUAGACACAACGUCACUGUUUUUAUCAUCCG
rnacentral:rRNA from 1 species